UUUCGAAUUACUGGUUGAAGGAUAGUACCAACCGGAACUAAUCCAGGAGGUCGAUGAUCAAGCCAUCUAUCUGCACUUUGUGACCGUCUAUAGCGCGGAUUCACUACUGGAAUUCUAUCCUACAAAUUAUUAAAGGUCUUCUUGUAAAAUAUUCCGCUUCUGAAUACGCAAUUCUAAGAAACGUAUAAGUGUAGUAAUUAUUUCAUCAUUAUGUGGACUUGUUAUUUCCAUUUCUGGGAAUGAUCCUCCAAGACUGGAAAAAAAUGUAUCACACAACAAAAUAAUUUCUUUAUUAUUGAUUAAUCUAA